GUUUAUUAAUAUUAUUAAAGUAUGGAUAUUAUCACUAAAUAAAUUGGUUUUUUUGAUUAGUUAGCUAAAUUUUCCUUUCUUUUAAGCCUAUUCCCAGGCCCAAUCCCAUUUUCCUUUAAUAUCCAGCCAUAAAGUCGACCCUACCCACCUCCCUAACCACUCAGACCCGGCCCAAUUUCCACUCCCAAAAAGAUACCCAAAGAACCUAUAAGUUCAACCCAACGUGACCGGACCCCUACGUCUCGUCUUCUUCUCUGUGUGAACUCCAGACGCGAACCAGAACGUGAGUCCAGCUGCCUAGCGCGUCGCAUCCCUCUCCUCUGUCCUUUUCUAUCUGUAUGUGAGCAGUGCUAUGUGGAGCAAUCUCCUUUCUUGAGUGUCGUUUUUAAAAAAUCAAACGGCUACUUUCAAAGUUCCAGUAGAAAUUGGUACAGUGACAAUAUUUCACCUUAUCUCCAAUUCGAAUUUCAAAUUCGGGAUAACAUACAAAAUCUGCCUGAUUUUCCCCCUAUUCCGAACCCUAUAAAUUCCCUAUAUAUACCCUCUUCUCCAUUCAUUGAAAGGCGGGGGUUCUUCACUGAAAAAAUAAAAGUAAGAAAUAUUCUAUCGGGAUAUAGAGAAAUAUGAUUGUAUAAAAAGCAGUAGAACAGGGAGGAGAACAAAUAUUUUUUUAUAUCGAAGUUUCACCCGCUCUGUCCAUUAGUUGGGAAUUUUCAUGGUUUAGAGUCCUUGUUGGUGGGAUAAUAUGCUCCUGCUCGUCUAGUAUCACUCCUGCCCGGAAAGGAUUCAAGGUUAAUGUAGGGUCUAUGGCAAAACAUAAACAAGUUUAAGUUGAACAAUCUAUUGAAGAAUUGAGAUCCAUGAAAAAAAAAGAUCCAAUGGCAAUUCAUAAAGUCAUCAACGACGCGAAAUCUAGCGGCAUUAAGAUUGUUGAAGGUGGAAGUAAGAGAAAAGUCGUAAAACAUUGAUUCAAAAGAGAUUGAAUCUGCCUCAUCAGAAGUGGACAAAUCUGAAGAAUAUCGGGAACAUCAGGUUGUGUAAUUUAUAUACAAAUUACAAAGUUAUGUAUAUAGUGGUUUGUAUAUUAAGUUAAUAUAUACAAUGUAUUAUGAAACAGUUCUUAAUUGUAUAUUCUAUUAGUUGUAUACCAAUUACUAAAGUUAGGUAUAUAAUGGGUUGUAUAUUAAGGUAACAUAUACAAAGUCUUAUGAGGCAAUAGCUAUUUCUAUACAA